rnacentral:rRNA from 1 species
UCCUAGCCGUAAAUGAUGCAGACUAGGUGUUGCACUCCUCUUGAGGGGGUGCAGUGCCGAAGGGAAGCCGUUAAGUCUGCCACCUGGGAAGUACGGUCGCAAGGCUGAAACUUAAAGGAAUUGACGGGGGAGCACAACAAGGGGUGGAGUCUGCGGUUUAAUUGGAUUCAACGCCGGAAAUC